UUUUCUCUACCCGCAUUUUCAAAGCUGAAAAUGAAACAAGAGUAUGUUUGCCACCGCCACAGCUGAUAAGUGUUAACCAAGAAAGUGUCAUAAGUUUUGGGAUCUCUUUUCCAGAAAAGCGGCCAUGGGAGAUAAUUAUUGAAUUUAUUAAUCCACAUGCGUAGCUCUGCUUAGCUUAUUAUUAUUAAAUUUAAAGCUGAAGAAAAAAAAAACUUGCCGCUUUGAUAGACCAACCAAAUGAGGAAAGGUGGCAGUGUUCAAAGCACAUUCCCUAAGCAAAAACUUGCUUGCCAUUAAAGCUCAGAUAAAAAAAAGAUAACAUACAAAAAUGCAGACAUGUUAAUCAUUACACACAUCUGCAAAGUUGUACGGGAGCCAUACUUACACACAUCUGCAAAGCUAAAAGCAUUGGAAAAAAAAUCAUUUCAAGGUAAGACUGUAAGAGGUUCGUGGAGGGAGCCAUACUUACUCAAACGGUACGGGAGCCAUACUUACACACAUCUGCAAAGCUGAAAGCACUGGAAAAAAAUCAUUUCAAGGUAAGACUGUAAGAGGUUUGUGGAGGGAGAGGCGCGGUCAACACUGCAUCGGUGCCGGUGGGUGGUGGCUGCUGAUGGAGAGACGGAGAAAGGUGCCGCCGAUUCGGAGAUUUCAGGAUGUGUGCUGCGUUGUUCACUUGCAAUCGCGAUUUAGGGUUCGGUUUUGGGGGCAAUUGGGCAAAGAAAAUUUUCUUUUCUUUUAUAUUUUCCUUUUUUUUUAACUUAAUAAAAAAACCGGGCACGGGUCCGGGUUCCGGGUUCUUGGUGCUGUGACCGGACCCGUGCCCAGAACCGGGCAUUGAAAAUCAAUGUCCGGAUCCGCUUUUUCC
rnacentral:lncRNA from 1 species